rnacentral:rRNA from 1 species
UGUAGUGAUCAUAUCAGAGUGGAAAUACCUGUUCCCAUCCCGAACACAGAAGUCAAGCA